CAGUGAUGAAACAACCUCAACUAAGCUGGAAUUACCGUCAGACUUUUGCUGUUGAGAAGGUUCUUUCUGAGC